rnacentral:rRNA from 1 species
UCCCUCUAGAUCCUCGUCCUCGUGUUGACCUUUGCGUUGAUGCAGGCGAGCGGAGGAGGGAGGAUGCUUUGCGCUUUUGUUUCAAACUAAAGGGCUAUGUUUUCAUAUACACUAUAAAGUUACAGAAUGUCUUUUAACGAUUGUGCUUGUCGCAGUCAUUAAACCUAUACAACUUUCAGCAACGGAUCUCUUGGCUCUCCCAUCGAUGAAGAACGCAGCGAAAUGCGAUAAGUAAUGUGAAUUGCAGAAUUCAGUGAAUCAUCGAAUCUUUGAACGCACCUUGCGCCCUUUGGUAUUCCGAAGGGCAUGCCUGUUUGAGUGUCAUUAAAUCAUCAACCUUCUUGCUUUGCUUGCGAAGCAUCUAGGCUUGGACGUGGGGGUUUUUGCUGGCUUCCUUCAGUGGAUGGUCUGCUCCCCUUAAAUGCAUUAGUGGGAUCUCUUGUGGACCGUCACUUGGUGUGAUAAUUAUCUAUGCCAUUUGACUUUGAAGCAAACUUAUGAGGACCUGCUUAUAACCGUCUUUCGGGACAACUUUUGACAAUUUGACCUCAAAUCAGGUAGGACUACCCGCUGAACUUAAGCAUAUCAAUAAGCGGAGGAAAAGAAACUAACAAGGAUUCCCCUAGUAACUGCGAGUGAAGCGGGAAAAGCUCAAAUUUAAAAUCUGGCGGUUCUUGUGGCCGUCCGA